GGUUAAGUUAAUAAGGGCGCACGGUGGAUGCCUUGGCACUAGGAGCCGACGAAGGACGUGACAAACGACGAUAUGCCUUGGGUAGCUGUAAGUAAGCGAUGAUCCAGGGAUUUCCGAAUGGGGGAACCCAACAGGUAAUACCUGUUACCCACAUCUGUUAAGGAUGUGAGGAGGAAGACGCAGUGAACUGAAACAUCUAAGUAGCUGCAGGAAGAGAAAGCAAAAGCGAUUGCCUUAGUAGCGGCGAGCGAAACGGCAGGAGGGCAAACCGAAGAGUUUACUCUUCGGGGUUGUAGGACUGCAAUGUGGACUCAAAGAUUAUAGAAGAAUGAUUUGGGAAGUUCAGCCAGAGAGAGUAAUAGCCUCGUAUUUAAAAUAGUCUUUGUACCUAGCAGUAUCCUGAGUACGGCGGGACACGUGAAAUCCCGUCGGAAUCUGGGAGGACCAUCUCCCAACCCUAAAUACUCCCUAGUGACCGAUAGUGAACCAGUACCGUGAGGGAAAGGUGAAAAGCACCCCGGGAGGGGAGUGAAAUAGAACCUGAAACCGUGUGCCUACAACAAGUUCGAGCCCGUUAAUGGGUGAGAGCGUGCCUUUUGUAGAAUGAACCGG
rnacentral:rRNA from 1 species